UACAGAGGUCUCAAGCGUUGUUCGGAUUCAUUUGGGCGUAAAGGGGCGCGAGUAGGCUGCGGGGCAAGUCGGGUGUGAAAUCUCAGAGCUCAACUCUGAAACUGCACUCGAUACUGCUUUGCUUGAGGACUGGAGAGGAGAUUGGAAUUCACGGUGUAGCAGUGAAAUGCGUAGAUAUCGUGAGGAAGACCAGUGGCGAAGGCGGAUCUCUGGACAGUUCCUGACGCUGAGGCGCGAAGGCCAGGGGAGCAAACGGG
rnacentral:rRNA from 1 species